rnacentral:rRNA from 1 species
UACGUAGGGUGCAAGCGUUAAUCGGAAUUACUGGGCGUAAAGCGUGCGCAGGCGGCUAUGCAAGACAGAUGUGAAAUCCCCGGGCUCAACCUGGGAACUGCAUUUGUGACUGCAUGGCUAGAGUGCGGCAGAGGGGGAUGGAAUUCCGCGUGUAGCAGUGAAAUGCGUAGAUAUCUGGAGGAACACCGGUGGCGAAGGCGGCGUUCUGGACUGCAACUGACACUGAGGAACGAAAGCCAGGGGAGCAAACGGG